rnacentral:rRNA from 1 species
CCUACGGGUGGCCGCAGUGAGGAAUAUUGGUCAAUGGACGAGAGUCUGAACCAGCCAAGUAGCGUGAAGGAUGACUGCCCUAUGGUUUGUAAACUUCUUUUAUAUGGGAAUAAAAUGUUCCACGUGUGGGAUUUUGUAUGUACCAUAUGAAUAAUGAUCGGCUAACUCCGUGCCAGCAGCCGCGGUAAUACGGAGGAUCCGAGCGUUAUCCGGAUUUAUUGGGUUUAAAGGGAGCGUAGGUGGAUUGUUAAGUCAGUUGUGAAAGUUUGCGGCUCAACCGUAAAAUGGCAGUUGAAACUGGCAGUCUUGAGUACAGUAGAGGUGGGCGGAAUUCGUGGUGUAGCGGUGAAAUGCUUAGAUAUCACGAAGAACUCCGAUUGCGAAGGCAGUUCACUGGACUGCAACUGACACUGAGGCUCGAAAGUGUGGGUAUCAAACAGGAUUAGAUACCCUGGUAGUC